rnacentral:rRNA from 1 species
AGAGUUUGAUCCUGGCUCAGAACGAACGCUGGCGGCGUGGAUUAGGCAUGCAAGUCGAACGAGAAUCUGGAGGUUCAAGUUUUCGGACAAGAACUUUCGGAGGAAAGUGGCGGAAGGGUGAGUACAACAUGGAUAAUCUACCUUCAAGUUGGGUAUAGCUUCCCGAAAGGGGAGAUAAUCCCGAAUGUGGUGAUCCGGCGCCUGUCGGAGAAUCCAAAGGUGGGGACCGCAAGGCCUGCCGCUUGAAGAUGAGUCCGUGCACUAUCAGCUAGUUGGUGAGGUAAUGGCUCACCAAGGCGAUGACGGUUAGCUGGUCUGAGAGGAUGGUCAGCCACACUGGGACUGAGAUACUGCCCAGACUCCUACGGGAGGCUGCAGUCGAGAAUCAUUCGCAAUGGGCGCAAGCCUGACGGUGCGACGUCGCGUGGAGGAUGAAGGUCUUCGGAUUGUAAACUCCUGUCAUGUGGGAUAAAUGGCCAGGGCAUGAAUAGUGCCUUGGAAUGAUAGUACCACAGGAGGAAGGGACGGCUAACUCUGUGCCAGCAGCCGCGGUAAUUCAGAGGUCCCGAGCGUUGUUCGGAUUUACUGGGCGUAAAGGGAGCGUAGGCGGUUUGGUGUGUCGAAUGUGAAAGCCCACAACUCAACUGUGGAAUGGCAUUCGAAACUACUGAGCUAGAGUACUGGAGAGGAGAGCGGAAUUCUUGGUGUAGCGGUGAAAUGCGUAGAUAUCAAGAGGAACACCGGUGGCGAAGGCGGCUCUCUGGACAGAUACUGACGCUGAGGCUCUAAAGUUAGGGGAGCAAACAGGAUUAGAUACCCUGGUAGUCCUAACCAUAAACGGUGUACACUUGGUGUGCGAGGAAUUGUCCCUUUGCGCGCCGCAGCUAACGCGAUAAGUGUACCGCCUGGGGAGUACGGUCGCAAGAUUAAAACUCAAAGGAAUUGACGGGGACCCGCACAAGCGGUGGA